UACAGAGGGGGCAAGCGUUGUUCGGAAUUACUGGGCGUAAAGGGUGCGUAGGCGGCCUUAUAAGUCAGUGCUGAAAUAUCCCGGCUUAACCGGGAGGGUGGCAUUGAUACUGUAGGGCUUGAGUAAAGUUGAGGUUGGCGGAAUUGACGGUGUAGCGGUGAAAUGCUUAGAUAUCGUCAAGAACACCUAUUGCGAAGGCAGCUAACUAAGCUUUAACUGACGCUGAUGCACGAAAGUGUGGGGAUCAAACAGG
rnacentral:rRNA from 1 species